GGUUAAUUACUUGUAAAGAAUAAGGAGCUGCUGGAGACCUGUCACACGUCCAGGAGAGCUUUGGAGUUUACCUCUUCGCAGUCUGGAGCAAAAUGAAAGAGCUUAUGUCGAGGCCUCCCAAGCAGUGCUGCUACAGACCAUGAACAAGAGAGGAGGAGGAGACCUCAGCCUGCACGAACGAUCCUGAAACACAAAUGGUCUUGGCCCGGCCUUGGAUGAUCCAGAAGAGAUGUGGUGUUUGCUUCUGGUGCGUCUCCCGAAGGGCUUUGCUGGAGGAUCCACAACCGGCAGAACACCUGACAGCUAGUUCAAGCCAAAAACUAAACCGAAGGACUCGCAGAAGCCUGACUGGCCGAGGAGGGAACAAGUAGGGGAAUCAGGAAAUUUAUUAGCUGCCGGGAUAACCACGGCACCAGACGCUUUCUGCAGCCUUUCUUUUGACUCUUGCUUUGUCUCUGUUUUUUUCUUAGCACAGUUGCGCCAAAGCUGAAUUAAGCUUGUGUUAAGAGCACAUUUGAGCCUGGUGACAGGAAAGCAUCUUCUUCCUGGUCUCCACCUAACCUCAUCUGCUGGGGGUUUGGUAAGCAGAGAGUGGACCAGAGUAGAUGGGGCUUUUUAUCAGAUUCUCAGCUAAGGGAAGGAAAGAAACGCAUGGGUUUCCAAAGCGGUGUUAAGGGCAAAAGAGGCUUUUUAAUAUGUGCUUCGUGGAGAAUUGACUCGAUUUUCCUCUGUGUGACUUCUUCCAGAUAUAAGUUACUGAUAUAAGCAUCUUCGAGCCUUUGUUAAAGGCUUUAAGCAAUAACCGGGGAGAAAAUUAAAGAAAUGAUAAAGUGUGUGAUUUUCACGAAAUACCAGGUGCUGGCAUUGCUGUUUGGGAGGUCUUUAGCGGUGCCUGGAAUAUUUCCUUUUAAGUAGCUGUCCACAGUUUGAAAAGAGAAAAAACUGCUUUUAAAGGAGAUCUGUCUAGUUAGAAACUAUGUCACUUGUGCUGUUUAGCACAGGCAGCCUUGAGAAUUGCAGGGGUUCUGAAUGGCCACCUAGGCCCUGCUUCUGGAAAGCCGAUGGAAGAAAAGAGCAAGCUCAGCAGCCUCCUUGAAGACUAUGGUCGGAGAGCUCUCCGAAUACAU
rnacentral:lncRNA from 1 species